rnacentral:rRNA from 1 species
AUUGAACGCUGGCGGCAGGCUUAACACAUGCAAGUCGAGCGGGGGAGGUUGCUUCGGUAACUGACCUAGCGGCGGACGGGUGAGUAAUACUUAGGAAUCUGCCUAUUAAUGGGGGACAACAUCUCGAAAGGGAUGCUAAUACCGCAUACGCCCUACGGGGGAAAGCAGGGGAUCACUUGUGACCUUGCGUUAAUAGGUGAGCCUAAGUCGGAGUAGCGAGUUGGUGGGGUAAAGGCCUACCAAGGCGACGAUCUGUAGCGGGUCUGAGAGGAAGAUCCGCAGCACUGGGUCUGAGACACGGCGCAGACUCCAACGGGAGGCAGCAGUGGGGAAUAUUGGACAAGGGGGUGAACCCUGAUCCAGCCAAGCCGCGUGUGUGGAGAAGGCCUUAUGGUUGUAAAGCACUUUAAGCGAGGAGGAGGCUCUUUUGAUUAAUACCCAAGAUGAGUGGACGUUACUCGCAGAAUAAGCACCGGCUAACUCUGUGCCAGCCGCCGCAGUAACAC